GAAAAGGGGAAAUUUUCCUCAGUUUUUCAGGUAACAGGCCAGCACAUGGGAAAAUCAAUUACCCAUGAACAAUAUCACGAGCUGAUGGAAACUUUGAAGAAAUUAGAUCCCUCGGAUAGUGGAGGCAGCUUCACAGGCCCGUUCGACUGGCACACUGAUGGGCUUGGGUAGAGUCAGCCAUGGCUUAUAUUUUUGGUUGGAUUUUCCACACUUUUUUGAGUCAUCUCCUGUUCAAUUCAAUAAAUAUCUAUGUAAUGCUACUGCCAAUGGCAUUAAUUUCCUUAAUCAUAAACGUUUGGGUCAUAGUGCAUUA